rnacentral:tRNA from 1 species
GCUCCUGUAGUUCAGCGGAUAGAACACUAGCCUUCUAAGCUAGUUACCCAGGUUCGAUUCCUGGCGGGAGCA